rnacentral:rRNA from 1 species
CGAACGGGUGAGUAACACGUGGGUGACCUGCCCCCUACUCUGGGAUAAGCUUGGGAAACUGGGUCUAAUACCGGAUAUGACAUGUUCCUGCAUGGGGAUGUGUGGAAAGCUUUUGUGGUGGGGGAUGGGCCCGCGGCCUAUCAGCUUGUUGGUGGGGUGAUGGCCUACCAAGGCUUCGACGGGUAGCCGGCCUGAGAGGGCGUCCGGCCACACUGGGACUGAGACACGGCCCAG